rnacentral:rRNA from 1 species
UGGGGAAUAUUGCACAAUGGGCGAAAGCCUGAUGCAGCGACGCCGCGUGAGGGAUGACGGCCUUCGGGUUGUAAACCUCUUUCAGUAGGGAAGAAGCGAAAGUGACGGUACCUGCAGAAGAAGCGCCGGCUAACUACGUGCCAGCAGCCGCGGUAAUACGUAGGGCGCAAGCGUUAUCCGGAAUUAUUGGGCGUAAAGAGCUCGUAGGCGGUUUGUCGCGUCUGCCGUGCAAGUCCGGGGCUCAACUCCGGAUCGGCGGUGGGUACGGGCAGACUAGAGUGAUGUAGGGGAGACUGGAAUUCCUGGUGUAGCGGUGAAAUGCGCAGAUAUCAGGAGGAACACCGAUGGCGAAGGCAGGUCUCUGGGCAUUAGCUGACGCUGAGGAGCGAAAGCAUGGGGAGCGAACAGG